AGAGUUUGAUCCUGGCUCAGAAUCAACGCUGGCGGCGUGCCUCAGACAUGCAAGUCGAACGCGAAAGCUCCUUCGGCGCCUGAGUACAGCGGCGCACGGGUGCGUAACACGUGGGCAAUCUGUCCUGAAGAUGGGGAUAACCCAGCGAAAGUUGGGCUAAUACCGAAUAAGACUACAGGAGGCAACUCCCGUGGUUAAAGGGUGCUCUCUGCGGGGAGCAUGCGCUUGAGGAGGAGCCCGCGGCCUAUCAGCUAGUUGGUAGGGUCACGGCCUACCAAGGCGAAGACGGGCAGCUGGUCUGAGAGGAUGACCAGCCACACGGGGACUGAGACACGGCCCCGACUCCUACGGGAGGCAGCAGUGGGGAAUAUUGGGCAAUGGGGGAAACCCUGACCCAGCGACGCCGCGUGGGUGAUGAAGGCCUUCGGGUCGUAAAGCCCUGUCGGGCGGAACGAAGGCCUCACGGCAAAUAGCCGUGAGAGGUGACGGUACCGCCGAAGAAGCCCCA
rnacentral:rRNA from 1 species